GUCUAUGGCCAGACUACCUUAAAUGUGCCCAAUCUUAUCUGAUGUCAGAAGUUUAGCAGGACUGAGGCUGGUUAAUACUUGGAUGGGAGACUGCCUGGGAAUACCAGGUGCCAUAGGCU
rnacentral:rRNA from 1 species